rnacentral:rRNA from 1 species
UACGGAGGGGGCUAGCGUUGUUCGGAAUUACUGGGCGUAAAAGCGCGCGUAGGCGGCUUUGUAAGUUAGAGGUGAAAGCCCGGAGCUCAACUCCGGAAUUGCCUUUAAGACUGCAUCGCUAGAAUCAUGGAGAGGUGAGUGGAAUUCCGAGUGUAGAGGUGAAAUUCGUAGAUAUUCGGAAGAACACCAGUGGCGAAGGCGACUCACUGGACAUGUAUUGACGCUGAGGUGCGAAAGCGUGGGGGAGCAAACAGGG